rnacentral:rRNA from 1 species
GAGGAAAAGAAACCAACAGGGAUUGCCCUAGUAACGGCGAGUGAAGCGGCAACAGCUCAAAUUUGAAAUCGGGCCCUUUUAGGGUCCGAGUUGUAAUUUGCAGAGGGUGCUUUGGCUUUGGCAGCGGUCCAAGUUCCUUGGAACAGGACGUCACAGAGGGUGAGAAUCCCGUACGUGGUCGCUGGCUAUUGCCGUGUAAAGCCCCUUCGACGAGUCGAGUUGUUUGGGAAUGCAGCUCUAAAUGGGAGGUACAUUUCUUCUAAAGCUAAAUAUUGGCCAGAGACCGAUAGCGCACAAGUAGAGUGAUCGAAAGAUGAAAAGCACUUUGGAAAGAGAGUCAAACAGCACGUGAAAUUGUUGAAAGGGAAGCGCUUGCAGCCAGACUUGCUUGCAGUUGCUCAUCCGGGCUUUUGCCCGGUGCACUCUUCUGUAGGCAGGCCAGCAUCAGUUUGGGCGGAAGGAUAAAGGUCUCUGUCACGUACCUCUCUUCGGGGAGGCCUUAUAGGGGAGGCGACAUACUUCCAGCCUGGACUGAGGUCCGCGCAUCUGCUAGGAUGCUGGCGUAAUGGCUGUAAGCGGCCCG